rnacentral:misc_RNA from 1 species
UCUCCGUUGGUGAACCAGCGGAGGGAUCAUUACCGAGUUUACAACUCCCAAACCCAAUGUGAACCAUACCAAACUGUUGCCUCGGCGGGGUCACGCCCCGGGUGCGUCGCAGCCCCGGAACCAGGCGCCCGCCGGAGGGACCAACCAAACUCUUUCUGUAGUCCCCUCGCGGACGUUAUUUUUACAGCUCUGAGCAAAAAUUCAAAAUGAAUCAAAACUUUCAACAACGGAUCCCUUGGUUCUGACAUCGAUGAAGAACGCAGC